rnacentral:rRNA from 1 species
UACGUAGGGGGCAAGCGUUGUCCGGAUUUAUUGGGCGUAAAGAGCGUGUAGGCGGCCAGGUAGGUCGGUUGUGAAAACUCGAGGCUCAACCUCGAGAUGUCGACCGAAACCAUCUGGCUAGAGUCCGGAAGAGGAGAAUGGAAUCCCGGUGUAGCGGUGAAAUGCGCAGAUAUCGGGAAGAACACCCGUGGCGAAGGCGGUUCUCUGGGACGGUACUGACGCUGAGACGCGAAAGCGUGGGGAGCGAACAGG